rnacentral:rRNA from 1 species
CCUACGGGAGGCAGCAGUAGGGAAUAUUGCACAAUGGGGGAAACCCUGAUGCAGCGACGCCGCGUGAAGGAAGAAGUAUCUCGGUAUGUAAACUUCUAUCAGCAGGGAAGAUAGUGACGGUACCUGACUAAGAAGCCCCGGCUAACUACGUGCCAGCAGCCGCGGUAAU